CCACUCUACACCAGAGAUGAUGUCUCUGGUGGGAGGGAUGUGAGGAGUCAAGGAUCUCCAGAAUCCGAGAAAUCUUGUGAGGAAACUUCUGCAGUUUUAAGGCAUCUCAUCUUCUCCAAGAACCCUGCCACACUGCGCUAAAGAUGUGCUGGAACGAGGAUGUGUCCGGAGGAUCUUGAGAGAUCAGAUGGCAAGGGAUCUUCUGUGGCUUUGGCAUCCCAUCAGGACAUUUUCUUCAAAUACCUGGACUGCAGGAUCCUGGGAAAAUAUCAAUUGUGAUAAACAAGAAAGCGGAACCAGAAGUGACAACGAAUUGCAGUACAAAAGAACAACAAAUAAAAAAUUAUGUUCUUGAAAUUUUAUUUAUUUAAAUAAAUUUUUCAACUUA